ACCAACAUGGCGGCGCCUACGAAUUUCGACAGUAUAAUUACGAAGUUAAAUAAUUAUAGCUCUUGUCUUGAAGAGAGUGUGCAAAGUGAUACACUAUUAGAGUUAAAAACCGAGCUAUCAUUAAUACCUCCAUCUUCCUUACGUAUUAUAGUGCCAAAAUUGAACAUUGAAGCUAUUUUUGAUUGCUUAAAUGCAAGUACGAGUGAACAAAUCGAACUGACAUGUGAUCUGCUAGAGAGGUUGCUACAAGUACUACCUCCUAUUUUGAUGUUACAACGUUUCGAUGAUCAUUUGCUGCGGGCAUUGUCUCAUCCCAGUGCUGAUGUGAGACAAAUGUUAUUAGUACAGAUAGCCCACUGUCUUUCUGAUGGCUCUGCAGUCCAGGAGCUCACCAGAAGGAUAGAUAUCCUCACAAAAACUGUACAGCUGCUGGCAGAUGAUGAUGUCAACGUGACUGCCCUCUCAAAACAGGCAUUGCUGAAACUAGCAGAGAGUCAAAAUGGCAGAAACAUACUGUUCUCUACUAAUACUUUUCCCCACAUGCAGGCCGUUAUGAAGGCCAGUGACACGGCAAAGUUCCGUGUUUACGAGGUGAUUGUGAGAGUAGCUUCAUUUAGUGCUGAUGGGCUGGUACAGGCAGCACAGACAGGCGCCCUAGCACAGCUCAUCGGAGAGAUUGAGAAUGGGGACGUCCUACUACAGCUGAAUGCCCUCGACCUUCUCUCAGAUCUUGCACUCACCGAGUAUGGUCUAUCCUUCCUUGAGCAGCAGGGUGUGUUGAAGACCCUGGCUCACAUGUUAGACAGCAUAGAUGCCAAUCUGCUGUCAACAUAUCUCCUGCCAGGUCUGAUCAAAUUCUUUGGUAAUGUCGCUCAUCAUAACCCAAAGGAGAUUUGCAGCCGGCACCAAGUAUUUGUCAAUGUGCUGUUCACGAACUUAGAAUCCUGCAAUCUCACAAUCCAGGGCAUAGCUGUGGACACAUUAGGAGUCAUAGGUUCUACCGCCGAGGGCAAGUUGUCAUUAGAUAAACAAGGCCAGCUGAUUGAUCGAGCACUGAAAAUAUUAGGCACGAUUAUUAAGGAUUCGCCAUCUAACAUGCGGCUCCGUGCAAUCCACUCUGUUUGCACCCUACUGACCCUCCAGGUUUCCUGCCAAACAGACGAACUCCUCGCUUUAACUGAAGCGUGGUUCAGCAAGCUGUUUGAGCGCCCUCUAGAGGUCUUCACGAGGAUCGCUCAACAACCAUUUGUAGACCUUCAUUGCGGUUCAUUGGCAGUGAUAGCAGCCAUUGCCUUGCAGCCAUGGGGCCAAAAGGCAAUCUACAACGAAGCUGGUUUACUAGAAUACAUACUUGAUCGCCACACGGAGACCAGAAAGGAAGGAAGAGAUGCAAAAUUCGAGGUGGUGAAAACGUUGGUUGAAUCGCCCACCGCCCAAGACAUAUUUGGCAGGCCAGAUUUCAUGCGCCUCAGAGGUUUCUAUGCCGACGGAGUUUACUAUGUGAAAGCACAACAUGCUGUUGCCAUGGAAGGAGGUGGGCCCUAACCUGGUCCCUGUGUACCUGAUCCUACUAAAUAUUUUGCGCCAUGUCAAUGUAAAAAUCAAUGAAAAUUAAUUUAGUGUUUAGCAGCCAUUGACUUGCGUUGGAAAUCACUCUCAACAGUAAGUGGUGAGGAUUGUUUUGCCCGGUGAAGCAAUAGCAAAGAGUGAGUUUUCAUCGGUAGUCUUCAUUGGCAAGUGUAAACGUUUUUAUCGAUUUGCAUCUGAUAAAGUUCGUUAUCACCUUGCGUGUCGGUGGUGUUUAUUUGACAUGCAUUAUUCACAAACACUUGUGGCACUUGUAAAUGUUAAGCUGUCUUCAUUGAAGAGCAAUAUCACGUUCUGAAUGCUGGUGGUAAGUGGUCUCAAAUGCCACAACACAGCAGAGUAGCGAGAAUUGAAUGGAAACAUGUCGAAAACGAGUAGAAUAGAUCAAUAGCUACGUCUACACGACGAACCUUAACUCGAGUUAAGCUAACUCGAGUUAGCGGUUAUGUAGCGUCUACACG